rnacentral:rRNA from 1 species
UACGUAGGGGGCGAGCGUUAUCCGGAAUUACUGGGCGUAAAGCGCACGCAGGCGGUUCGCCAAGUUUGGAGUGACAGUCGUCGGCUCAACCGACAAAGGACUUCAAAAACUGGUGAACUUGAGGACGAGAGAGGAACAUGGAACUCCAGGUGUAGUAGUGAAAUGCGUAGAUAUCUGGAAGAACACCAAUGGCGAAGGCAAUGUUCUGGCUCGUUUCUGACGCUCAGGUGCGAAAGCCAGGGGAGCGAACGGG